GUUUGCUUGGAGAUAUAAGAAGUCUAGCCUGCUCUCUGAUUUUUUUAAGGGCCGCGGUAAUUUGACUGUGCAAAGGUAGCAUAAUAGUUAGUUUUUUAAUUGGAAUCUUGUAUGAUUGGUUGGACAAAAGAAAUACUGUCUCUAUAAUUUUUAUUGAAUUUAACUUUUAAGUGAAAAGGCUUAAAUAAUUUAAAAAGACGAUAAGACCCUAUAAAGCUUGAUAAGUUAAUAUUAUUUAAUUAAAUUAGUAAUAAAAUUUUAAUAAUUUUUAUUAUUUUAUUGGGGAGAUAGAGGUAUAAUUAAAGAUAACUGUAGUUUAUGUAAUACAAAUAUAAAUGUUUAAAAUAGUAAAAGAUCCUAAUUAAAGAUUAAAAAUUUAAGUUACUUUAGGGAUAACAGCGUUAUUUUUUUUGAGAGUUCAUAUCGAAAAAAGAGAUUGCGACCUCGAUGUUGAAUUAAAAUUUCUAGAUAAUUGCAGAAGUUAUUAAAGAAGGUCUGUUCGACCUUUAAAUUUUUACAUGAUUUGAGUUCAGACCGGCGUGAGCCAGGUUGGUUUCUAUCUUUUAAGAAUAAAUAAAUUAUUUUAGUACGAAAGGAUUAAAUAAUUAAAAAUUUUUUAUAAAAUGGAAG
rnacentral:rRNA from 1 species